UUGUAUAUAGGUUUACCACACAAACAUGGCCAAGCACACGGGCGUGCUUAGGACUGUGUGGAAACAGGGCAAAGAUUUUCCCCAGCACGGGCUACAAUAAAUUGCCACGGCCGUGCCACAUGGCCACGGGCGAACCUGCGAAAACAACACGGGCGUGUGAUACGCCCAUGCCUUGAAACCAUGGCCGAACUUGUCAAAUUAACACGGGCGUGUGACAUGCCCGUGCCAAGCAACUGUGGGUGAACCUGCCAAAACAACAUAGUCG
rnacentral:lncRNA from 1 species